UUCAGAGUUCACAGACCUACGAUGCCUGCACAGUGCUCUGUGGAUAGGUUUUGCAGCUGUGUGCUGACAACUGAGGAGCACUGAAACAUUCAGGAUGUGUGGUUUCAUUGACUCUGGGUCAUGCAGAGAUGUCUAUCCCAAGCCAAAGG